rnacentral:rRNA from 1 species
UCAGGAUGAACGCUAGCGGCAGGCUUAACACGAUGCAAGUCGAGGGUAACGCGGGGUAGCAAUACUCUGGCGACGACCGGACGCACGGGUGCGUAACGCGUAUGCAACCUACCUGUAACAGGGGGAUAACGGAGAGAAAUUUCCACUAAUACCCCAUAUUGACACGGAUUCGCAUGUUUCUGUGUCGAAAGCUUCGGUGGUUACGGAUGGGCAUGCGUGACAUUAGCUAGUUGCGGGGCAACGGCCCACCAAGGCGACGAUGUCUAGGGGAGCUGAGAGGCUUAUCCCCCACACUGGUACUGAGACACGGACCAGACUCCUACGGGAGGCAGCAGUGAGGAAUAUUGGUCAAUGGACGGAAGUCUGAACCAGCCAUGCCGCGUGGAGGAAGAAGGUCCUAUGGGUUGUAAACUCCUUUGUUCCAGAGUAAUAAGAGGCUUGCGAGCUUCGAUGAGAGUAUGGGACGAAUAAGCAUCGGCUAACUCCGUGCC